GUCCCAGCCGCCGCGGUAAUACGGAGGGUGCAAGCGUUAAUCGGAAUUACUGGGCGUAAAGCGCGCGUAGGUGGUUGAGUAAGCGAGAUGUGAAAGCCCCGGGCUUAACCUGGGAACGGCAUUUCGAACUGCUCGGCUAGAGUGUGGUAGAGGGUAGUGGAAUUUCCUGUGUAGCGGUGAAAUGCGUAGAUAUAGGAAGGAACACCAGUGGCGAAGGCGGCUACCUGGACCAACACUGACACUGAGGUGCGAAAGCGUGGGGAGCAAACAGGAUUAGAUACCCUGGUAGUCCACGCCGUAAACGAUGUCAACUAGCCGUUGGGGAUCUUGAAUCCUUAGUGGCGCAGCUAACGCACUAAGUUGACCGCCUGGGGAGUACGGCCGCAAGGUUAAAACUCAAAUGAAUUGACGGGGGCCCGCACAAGCGGUGGAGCAUGUGGUUUAAUUCGACGCAACGCGAAGAACCUUACCUGGCCUUGACAUGCAGAGAACUUUCCAGAGAUGGAUUGGUGCCUUCGGGAACUCUGACACAGGUGCUGCAUGGCCGUCGUCAGCUCGUGUCGUGAGAUGUUGGGUUAAGUCCCGUAACGAGCGCAACCCCUAUCCUUGGUUGCUAGCAGGUAAUGCUGAGAACUCCAGGGAGACUGCCGGUGACAAACCGGAGGAAGGUGGGGAUGACGUCAGGUCAUCAUGGCCCUUACGGCCAGGGCUACACACGUGCUACAAUGGCGUAUACAGAGGGCUGCCAACUCGCGAGAGUGAGCCAAUCCCUUAAAGUGCGUCGUAGUCCGGAUCGCAGUCUGCAACUCGACUGCGUGAAGUCGGAAUCGCUAGUAAUCGCGAAUCAGAAUGUCGCGGUGAAUACGUUCCCGGGCCUUGUACACACCGCCCGUCACACCAUGGGAGUGGAUUGCACCAGAAGUGGUUAGUCUAACCUUCGGGAGGACGAUCACCACGGUGUGGUUCAUGACUGGGGUGAAGUCGUAACAAGGUAACC
rnacentral:rRNA from 1 species